UCCAGAUGUGGUGGUGUGCCCGUAGUCCCAGCUAUGCAGGAGGCUGAGGCAGGAGGAUUGCUUGAGUCUAGGAGUUCUGGGCUGUAGUAUGCUAGGCUGAUUGGGUGUCUGCACUAAGUUCAGCAUCAAUAUGGUGACCUCCCUGGAGUAGGGGACCACCAAGUUGCCUAAGGAGGGGUGAAUGGGCCCAGGUCAGAAAUAGAGUAGGGCAAAACUCCUGAAUUGACUAGAAAUAUGAGAUAAUACACUGAUAGCAGUUUAAAACCCAUAAGUUUGUGGUGCCUUGUUUCAU
rnacentral:SRP_RNA from 1 species